ensembl:lncRNA
GUGAGUGUGUGUAGAUUCUUCUGUUUCUAACCAAGUAUGGCUCGCCCAUUCUCUGAUUUUAAUACCAAGCAACAGAGUUCAUGGUCAUCCAGUGGGUGAAUGUCUAAGAGCACUCCUGCAGUAUUUUAUAUGCUAUGUGAAAUGUUUUAAAAUUUCUACUAGCAUUUAGGUGGAGUAGGUCAGCUCGUCUCACCAGGGGUGGCCAGUUCUGAGAGUCCAUCUGCUGGAUCAUCUGUUGGUGGUGGUUCAGUCGCUAAGUCGUGUCUGACUUUCAACCUCACAGAGCCUCUCUGCCAGGCUCCUCUGUCCAUAGGAUUCCCCAGGCAAGCAUACUGGAAUGGGUUGCCAUUUCCUUCUUCAAGUGAUAUUCCCAACCCAGAGAUUGAACCCAUGUCUCCUGCAUUUAAGACAGAUUCUUUACCGAUUGAGCCACCAUGGGAUCAUCUCUUGGGAUGCCACAUGAUACAGAACAAUGCCACUUUCUUAGAAGACAAAGAACUACAUUGUCUGUUCCAGGAUGGAAUAUGGCUCACAUGCCACCUCAUUGUUCUUGGCAUCUAUUUGACACUGAAUACCCACCCACCUUCCCAGGCAAAACAAGGAUGCCUUGGCUUCCUCCUUAAACCUCUCUGAACUCCCAGCUGGUUUAAGUGAAUGGAAUUCUUGAGGGUGUUGAAAGGACAUGCC